rnacentral:sRNA from 1 species
UCCUCGAUCUGCUGGGGGCAGAUGAAGUGGAUGUGGGCGUCGAUGCCCCCGGCGGUGAGGAUCAUGCCCUCGCCGGCGAUGACCUCGGUGCCCGGGCCGACCACGAUGGUGACGCCCGGCUGGGUGUCCGGGUUGCCGGCCUUGCCGAUGCCCUGGAUGCGCCCCCCCUUGAUGCCCACGUCGGCCUUGACGAUGCCCCAGUGGUCGAUGAUGAGCGCAUUGGUGAUGACCGUGUCCGCCACGGUCUCGCCCCAGCGCUGGGACUGGCCCAUGCCGUCACGGA